rnacentral:lncRNA from 1 species
GUCUUGAGAUAUCAACCCAAUCCUUGGUCCGCAGAUCUGGCCCAUAUAGACCCAUCACGGGAUGGGCUUGGACAAGUAAUUUGUUGUCCAUGUAAUCAGUGAAUCUAACCCAAGCGGUUUGCGGGUGAUUGGGUCAGGACUGGUUAGCGGGUUUCGGAUCACUUAGAUCAAAUUCAUUCUGAUUUGGAACGCCGUUUGAUGAGAUACAAAGAGAUCACUGAUUGCAUGUCUUCACUGGAGAUUUUGAUCGUUUCAUCUCGUUGUCUGAGACAAAUUAUCUUUGUCUUCUUCAAUCCCACACACGUAGCAGCCUGGCAAGAGAAGAA